rnacentral:rRNA from 1 species
UACGGAGGGUGCAAGCGUUGCUCGGAAUUAUUGGGCGUAAAGGGUAGGUAGGUGGUCUCGUUUGUCUGGGGUGAAAGCCUUGAGCUUAACUCAAGAAGUGCCCCAGAAACGGUGAGACUAGAGUCUUGGAGAGGGUCGUGGAAUUCCCGGUGUAGCGGUGAAAUGCGUAGAUAUCUGGAGGAACACCGGUGGCGAAGGCGGCAUCCUGGACCAACACUGACGCUGAGGAGCGAAAGCCAGGGGAGCAAACGGG